UACGUAGGGGGCAAGCGUUGUCCGGAGUUACUGGGCGUAAAGCGCACGCAGGCGGUCUUUUAAGUUUGGAGUGACAGUUGGUGGCUUAACUGCCAAAGUGCUUCGAAAACUGAAAGACUUGAGGGCUUCAGAGGGACACGGAAUUCCGGGUGGAGUGGUGAAAUGCGUAGAGAUCCGGAAGAACACCGGUGGCGAAGGCGGUCUGCUGGGCAGUUGCUGACACUGAGGCGCGACAGCGUGGGGAGCAAACAGG
rnacentral:rRNA from 1 species